GCAGCAUAUGAAAGUUCCCAGGCUAGUGGUCAUCUCAGAGCUGCAGUUGCCAGCCUACACCACAGCCAUAGCAAUGUGGGAUCCAAGCCAUGUCUGCAACCUGUACAACAGCUCAUAGCAAUGCCAGAUCCUUAACCCAGUAAACGAGGCCAUGGAUCGAAUCCACAUCCUGUGGAUACUUGUUGGGUUUGUUCCCACUGAACCACAAUGGGAACUCCCCAGGGGCCUUUCUAACUCGCCCUCAAUCAUACCUGCUCAUAGAAUCAGCCAUGACUAAAACUCUGCCAUUUUUUUUGCUACUGUUUUUGAUUUUUAGAGAGUAAAUUGCUGAUAAAUGGGUGAAUUAUAAAGAAAUGUUAAGAUCUUUAUAAAAUCUUACAAUUGUACAAUUAAUUCUACGAUUUAGCAUUAAUGUUUAAAAAAGUAAACUAUGCAUACUGAAAAAAAAAGUCUAAUUUUUAAGACAUUCAGUUCUUUCAAGUCCAAGCAAAUCUAUAUAGGAACGAAACAAUAUAGCAAAAGAAGACUUUGGGAACAAGUCUGUGUCUAUAGUUGUAGUCUUAUCUCACUUAUCAUUCUUCUGGUGUCCCCUACCCUCUUGUCAUUGAACUGCUUUUAUUUUCCCCAAAUCUGUCAUGCUCUUUUGCUUUUAUGCCUUUGUACAGACUGCUGCAGCUCUGCUGGAAUGCCUUCCUGCCCUCUUCCUCAUGCACCUAACAGAGACUCACCUUCUAGCCCUGGUGUAGGCCUCAUUUCCUCCAUUAAGCCAUUCUAACAAAAAUGCUUUUUCACUAUGUCCCUGAAUUCUAAUUUUAUUCAUUGGUCCAAUCUGUGCUGUAACUGCCUAUUUUUACAUCUCCCCAGCUAUAAGUUAGUAACUUCAGGGCAGACUAUGUAUUCUUUAUCAUGAUAAUGUGAAUAUCCAAUUAGUAUUUGUUGGCUAAAUGAAUUUUAAAAGCCUUUGAGGGACAGAAUACAGAGCUGAAAACUAAACCCACAUAACUAUGGUCAAUUAAUCUUUGACAAUGGAGAAAAGAAUAUACAAUGGGUAAAGACAGUCUCUUCAGUAAGUGGUGCUGGGAAGGUUGGACAGCUGCGUGUGAGUCAAUGAAGUUAGAACACACCCCCUCACCAUACACAAAAAUAAACUCAAAAUGGCUUAAAGACUUAAAACAUGAUAUCAUAAAACUCCUAGAAGAGGUCCUAGGCAAAAUGUUCUCUUAUAUAAAUUGUACCAAUGUUUCAUUAGGUCAGUCUUCCAAGGCAAUAGAAAUAAAAAACAAAAGUAAACCAAUGGGACCUAAGCUUUUGUAUGGCAAAGGAAAUCACAAAUACAAUGGAAAGACAAUGUACAGAAUCGGAGAAAAUAUGUGCAAAUAAAGUGACUGCAAGAGCUUAAUUUCCAAAUAGCUCAUACAAUUCAACUACAACAACAAAAACCCAAUUAAUAAAAUUCACAGAAGAUCUAAAUAGGCAUUUCUCUAAAGAAGACAUAUGAAUGGCCAAUAAGCACAUGUAAAAAUGCUCAAUAUCACUACUUAUUAGAAAAAUUCAAAUCAAAACUACAAUGAGGUACUACCUCAUACCAGUCAGAAUGAUCAUCAUUAAGAAGACUACAAAUAACAAAUGCCUGAGAGGGUGUGGAGAAAAGGGAACCAUCCUAUACUGUUGGUGGGAAUGUAAGUUGAUACAGCCACUCUGGAAAACAGUAUGGAGGUUCCUCAAAAAAACUGAAAAUAGAAUGAUCAUAUGAUCCAGCAAAACUGUAAUUCAAAAAGAUGCAUGCACCCUAUGCUCAUAGCAGCACUAUUCACAACAGCUAAGACAUGGAAACAAACUAAAUGUCCAUAAACAGAAGAAUGGAUUAAGAUGAUGUGGUACGUAUAUACAAUGGAAUACUAUUCAGCCAUAAAAAAGAGUGGAACAUGCCAUUUACAGCAACAGAGGUAGACCUAGAGAUUAUCAUACCAAGUAGAGUAAGUCAGAAAGAGAAAGACAAACACCAUAUGAUAUAACAUAUGUGGAAUCUAAAAUAUGACACAAAUGAACCUUUUCUCAAAAUAGAAACAGACUCAUGGACAAAGACAACAGACUUGUAGUUGCCAAACAGGGAGGGGUUGGGAGAAGGAUAUAGUGGGAGACUGGGGUUAGCAAAUGUAAGCUAUUAUACAUGGAAGGUAUAAACAAGGUCCUACUAUAUAGCGCAGGGAACUAUUUUCAAUAUCCUAUGACAAACCAUAAUGGAAAAUAAACUUAAAAAAAUAAUGUGUGUGUUUGUGUAUGUAUAUACACACAAAUUAUUGUGUAGUUUGCAUAGUUUUCUGUUUCUUCCUGAUCAGAAAUGCAUUUGAAUGCCUUUUCUGGUCUCCUUAUCACUGCUGCAAUGCUUUAUUUCACCCACAUGUUGCAACCUUUUUUUUUUUUCCUUGCCUCCCUAGAGUGUGUGAUUUGGUGGAACCAUAUCCGUAAUGACAUCACCACCACUACAUUUGCUUUGGUGGUUGACUUCUUACGUUAUCAAUGGAAGCAUUGUGAAAAACCAUAGAGGAGCAAGACCCAUGCGCAGAGAAUCCUCAAAGACCAUGCUGCACUGUGCGUAAAGAGAACUUCAAAUAUUAGUUCAGUGCUGCUAUUAAACACUUCUCUUUAUUUCUCCUUGAGGGUUGGGGUUGAGAAAGAAUUGAUAUAAAAACAAAGAUAAAUGAUGGAAUACACUCUCCUUAAUGAUGUGUUACAUCAGAUAAGAUUACUUAAGAACUAAUUGUUCUCAAUCUUGGCAGGCCACUGAGUUUCAAACACACCUAUUGAAAUGAUAGGAAUGAGACAGGCCUGAAAGUAUUGGUAGCUGCUUUUGAUGCAACGGAAUGUAUUUGUUUUUGGUACAAUUCUGCAAGGGUAAGUUAAUAUAAAACUUGAGGACAAGUCUAUCUCCAGAAACUGAGCAGGGAUCAUAAUUCUAUAAAAGUUCAGAGUAGCUUUUAGUCUGGACUUAGAUUUUAAAAAGUAACUUUGUAUCUUUAUCUAAUCUUUAUUUAGAGAUUUCCCCCAUGCUUUGCAAAAUAGCAGAUAAUAAGUCUAAUUAUGGGUAGGUCAGGGGAUACUUAAAUGUUUACAUAUGGAGAUGGACACAAGACCCACCUGCUCUGAAAUACCUCCUUCAUCACAGGCUAAAGAGAGUCUAGAAUUCUCAGCCUUUGAAAUAUUUCUUUAAGAUAUAGUCUCCCAAAUGUUUCCACAAGAGGUUCCCACUAAAGGAGAAGACAUCAAGACUCACCCUCUCACAUCAGACUCAUUAAUAAUCAGAAUACAUCAACGUAUGGAUUUUAGUUUGGUUUGGUUUGGUUCAGAUUGGUUUGUCUUGUGGGGAAUUUAUUGGAAUCACUAGUUGUCAUCUCAGAAGCCUGGGAAGAAUUCAUGUAACUGAACAGAUAAGGACUAGUUCUUCCACUGCUUAGAAGCUCUUUCCAUUUCUCCUUAGGGUAGCACUAACUCCAAGAAUACAAUCCUGAAGCAGAAAGAUAUGUGAUGUCCACAGAUUAGAACUCCAGAUGUGCCCUGUCAGGUAGCACAUGAGGACACAGGUGCUGGAAAGGCGAUCUAGGAGCCAACUGAAAUUAACAUUACAAUCAUUUGGGGAAAGGAAUCCAAACAGAAACAGCACAUCCAUAAAUUGGGACCUCAGACAAGACACUAAAUUUGGCUUCUUUGUAUUGUUGUUGCAGUAGCUUCCAGGGCCUACCAACUUUAAGGUGAAAUCUGAGUUCUGAGUAUGCUGGCUGCUGAGGAACUGUGGGAAUGAUGAACCUCAUCAUUUUUCUGAAGAGGCUGUUUGUCCCACUGCCCCAGGCAUUUGGAAAACAAGGGUUUUAAUUUUGAAUCUGGGCUCUGAUCAAGCAUCUACUAAAAUUCUAGCUAUCUUUAAGACAACUGUCUUUCCCUAUCUCUCUUUUACUUAAAAGUCUUGAUCAAACUUACAAAGCCAGGUACAAAGGUGUGCUAUAUGCCAUGACCCUGAAUGCAAAUGCUAAGACACUAAAGGGGGUUGCUGGAACUCUCUGAAUUCCUUAACAUAUCCCUGGGGUGGAUUUAUACUUUCACAUAGGCAGGAAAAUGUGUAAAGGCAAAAAACGGGCUAUUGCUAUCCAGAAUCUGUUAUCUUACUUCACCUCCUUGCUAGAUAGUUUCUAAUCUGUUGACCAUGGCAUGGUUCAUGUUUUUCACUUGAAGGAGUCACUUUUUUUCCUGAGAGGGAGGGACACUCCUUUUCCUCUGGGCAAAAGUUAUAAAUCUUGCUUUUCUUGUUACAUUUUACAGUCUUAUUUGAAUCUUUAUACAAAGGGAUUUUAUAGUAGUAUCAAUGAAAUCCAUUAAGGAAAAAAGAAAUGACAUGACUUCUAAAAGGUAAUAAUUAUCUAUUUAAUACAAUUUUGCUUCUUUCAAAGAAAUGUAGUCACAACUGUUUCCUAACUCUUUGGAGGAAGCCACUGAAUAAAUUCAAUAAUGCUUAAAGUUCCCUAUCACAUCAAUUUUAUACAUGGUUUGUAAAGAUUUAAAUGUUUCUAGUGGUCAGUUUUUUUUUUUUUUCUCUACUUAUGAAUCAGCCUCCUUCCAUUAAAAAAAAAAAAAAAAUCCAAAAACUAUAAUUAACUCCUUCUGGGGGAAAAAGCCAGAAACCUAAAAAAGACAAUUGUGAUUAAAAAAAAAACAUGUCAAAUUUGAUAACUUUUAAAGGGAGAUUGCAACUAAUAUACAGAGAUUUCUGAAGUCUAAUACAUAUAUGCAUCCAGGAAAAUAGCAACAAAUUUUAGUAAUCAGCUAAGUUCCUAAUUCUGCUUCUCUAUGUAUCCUUGAAUAUCAUUAUCUAGCAUAACUGAGUAUGAGGGAGAAAACAGAAGCAAAAGAUCAGGACCUCAACCAUUUAGGAAGUUACUAAAUACUGACUCUAGUGCCUUCUUGAAGAGUAUGCAUAAGCAGUGCUGAUUUAAAAAGUGAUGCUCGAAAAGUCAAAGGCCCGUGGAAUCCUCCUCUGGCCUGGGUAUUUGAACGCACGUGUGUAAGAAACAAACUUCACCACAGACCUCUGUGAAGAUGAAUCUACCUGUGGGAAUGUCAACUGUGAAAGUGCUGUCAGCUAUGAUUGCUGGCAGCAUGAGGUCAUGUCUUGAUUUGCUACCUUGGUGAACACUGACAUUUUGUGGUCAUCCAUACUAACAGAAUGAAGGCUUUUCUUAAGAGAAUGUGACCAAAUAAGACAUCAUCAGUCAUGACUUUUCAGAGGUAAAAAGUGAAGCAUGCAGCCUUUUGGCACCAUGAGACAGGUCAAAUGACUUCUACAGAGUAAUGACGAUAAUAAUGCAGACAACAACACAGCCUUUAUGCUCUAUCCUUUCAUGAUUUUAUCUGAAGUCACAUUUUCACUCAAUAUCUCUGCGCUCACAGUAUUUUACAUUUUUGGAUAAAUAUAUGACUGAAAAUUCCAGGGCUCCCAGUAUUCCUGGAGCUGAUGUAUAGGGUUCUGAGAAAAGGUAAUUUAUCCUUUGACCCUGAGGAUAGCACAGAUGUUGGUCAAAGAAGGUUAAUUUAAUAUGAUCCAUCCAGUCAUAACAUAUCCAAUCCCUUCUUUAAUUUUUAUUUCCAGCCUGUAAAACCCUGCAGGGCAAUUUGCUGUACAAGUUUACAAUGUUAUGCCUCUUUUAAGUUAUAUUAAGACUCUCCUGUUCAGGCACCAGAGAAGACUCAUUUAUUCUCAGAUUCCAGGACAGAAUGACCAAGUCUAUUUCAAUCAUUAUUUCAGAGACCUCAAUAAUUUUAUGCCCCUUACUCUAUAGAAAGCUGAAGUGAUCUCUCUUUGUCAACCCAGAGCAUGGAACCAAUGAGGAUUUAAGCAGCCUGAUCAGUUCAAUGUGUGCCAGACACAAAAUACAUGUAACUUAGAUUUCUGCAAAAAUUUUCUAUGUAUUGCUUCAUAGAAGGGGAUGCUGGCAGUGGAGGGGGAGGAAGAUGGAAGGUAUAACCUAAGAAGAGAGGACAAGGAGACUUGGGAAGCUGGUGGGAGAAGAGCGAAAACACAGAUCUGGAGAGAGUGGUGAGCAAGAUUCACUGUGCGAAGGAAAAAGAGAGGUACAGGAGGAAAACUCAGGCAAGUGGGGAGAGGCAGGGCCAAUUUGUGUUCUUAAGGGCCUCCAGUGAAAGAACAGAAAGAAUGGAGACAUUUGCAGUCAUUCUUCUCUCAAGGGCUGAGUAGGCUUCAGAGUAUUGGUUAGUGCCCCAUCUCAGCUGAGGGCAGACAUAGUCUUUGUCUCUCAACUGCAUCAAGGAACUCCCUCAAUGAAGGGAACUAUAGGUCCCAUCAUGACAGCCUCUUGCUCUGAGCUUCCACUGGAAUUUUAAUAAGGAUAGGUGAGAUGAGGCGUGUGUGUGUGUGUGUGUGUGUGUGUGUGUGUGUGUGUUAUACACAUUUUUGACUAUUUUAGGACCACCAUGGAAUGGGAACCAUUAGGUUCUCCCAUAAAAUAUCCUCCAAUGAUAGAUUUGAUCACUGGGUUUGGAUGAUAAAAUCUAAUGUUUACUGAGCCCUAUGAGUCAGGUACUGUGCUUCCUUCUUCACAGAGAUGAUCUCAUUCAAGCCUCAGACCUUAGUGUGAUGUAUAGUUUUAUGAACCACCAUUCUACAGAUAAGGAAACCAUGCUUAGAGAGG
rnacentral:lncRNA from 1 species